rnacentral:rRNA from 1 species
CCUACGGGUGACAGCAGUGAGGAAUAUUGGUCAAUGGACGAGAGUCUGAACCAGCCAAGCCGCGUGAAGGAUGACGGCUCUAUGAGUUGUAAACUUCUUUUAUAAGGGAGUAAACCGAGUGACGUGUACCUGUUUGCAUGUACUGUAUGAAUAAGGAUCGGCUAACUCCGUGCCAGCAGCCGCGGUAAUACGGAGGAUGCGAGCGUUAUCCGGAUUUAUUGGGUUUAAAGGGUGCGUAGGUGGUUUGUUAAGUCAGUUGUGAAAGUUUGCGGCUCAACCGUAAAAUUGCAAGUAAUACUGGUAGACUUGAGUAUAGUUGAGGUAGGCGGAAUGCGUGGUGUAGCGGUGAAAUGCUUAGAUAUCACGAAGAACACCGAUUGCGAAGGCAGCUUACUAAACUAUAACUGACGUUGAGGCACGAAAGUGUGGGUAGCAAACAGGAUUAGAUACCCCUGUAGUC